rnacentral:lncRNA from 1 species
GAGAUGCUAAAGUACUAUUUAUUUGACCGGCUUGGUGUACAUUGACCUUUACCGCCUGAAUGUUAUGAAUUAUAUUCGUGGUGGAUGAUAUGAAUGUCGGGGAGGUGAUGGAGAAGUAUGACGAGGAACUUGUGAAGGCUGAGGGCAUGGAGAAGAAGGGGAGAAUCUAAGUGGGAGGCUGACAUUGGCGAAGGAGAAGGCUAGAUGAGUGUUGGCAUUGGCAGACAACGGGUCAUUGCAGAUGGCAUUCACUGAAUUAUUCAAGGAAUUGAAGCUCCCAAAAUGAUCAAAUAAAUAAGAUAGCAAUGAGACAUAGAAUGUCGUGUUAUUAAUUAUCUUUGUCCUCAAAAAGGAUGUCGUGAUAGUAGUCGUGCUUUGCAUAUAAGUUGCUUCAACAACUAUAUUCUUGAAAUGAUGUGCCAUAGGUAGGUGGAAAAACUAAGAAAUACAAGCAUUACUCUGUGUGUGUGAGAGAGUGCUCUACACGCUGCCUUUAUGGAUUAAACCGGUGCUCUAAUUAAAUGAUAAAUUGAGUGUACUUUUUUUCUUUGAUCGUUAUAUGACAAAAUGAAUGAACAUGUGAGUGCUAUCCAGAUUAUCCAUGAAGUGCCCUGACAUAUGCUAUAAAGAGAUCAUGUGAAAACAAAGCUGAAGUUGUUGCCCAGGAUGAGAAGGAAAGUGGUCUUCCAGCAACACUAAACAUGGUCAUGUAUUACACAUACAUAUGAUGAUGUAUGUAAUGCGUCCGAUCAUUGUUGUUUUUUAUGUCAAGUUUAUUUGUCUUGCAUUAUGAUGGUCCAUGUAAAAAUACUUGGAUGAGUUGCCAACCCAGUAAGAAGUUUGCUUUAAUUUUGUUGCUCCUGCUUGCUUUGUUGAUGUAUUUCAUGGGGAUGACUCGUGUACUCAUUUUGUUUCUAACUAAAAUGGAAAAGAAAACAACAAAGAUUAGUAUUUGUUUGCUUUAAGUCGUCAAAUAUUUUUUCAUUGUGAUUUGUAAUUCAUUUUUUUAUUAAAUGCAUGUUGAGCUAGCAUUAUCUUUGUUGCCUAGAAAAUUUGCUAUAGGCCAUAGCGAAUAACAUCUGAAGGCGAUUGUCGCCCUUUUCCCUUGCUGCUGGCGUUUUUGCUUGGUUUUAUGGUUCUUAGAAUGUCGUUGUACUACUCCCUCCGUUCAAUAAUAUAGGAUGUUUUUGCAAGCUAACAUAGCUUGACAAAGGGGGUAUGUUUUAGGCUAAGAAGAAGCGGCGUUGGCACUGAAGAACAUCAUUUUAUCUUUAGAGAUCUCAAAAAAUUUGGAGAGUCUGAUGUGUUACAAAUUAAUAUUGUAUAUAAGGAGAAUAGUAGGAGAAGAUCAACAGUUGUGUAUGUGUAAGUUUUACUGAGGUAUUUUUUUCUUGCAAGAUCCUAACCAUUUAUCCAUUUUCUCCCUAGAUUCGUUUACUGAUUGUAAAUUGCUUAAUUUCCUUGCACAUAAAAAGAAAAUAUGCUUGGAUUUGUGAAACAACCAUAUUUUUGUGUACAAUGGUGAAAGAGCUACAUUGUUAUAUUGCUCUCUGGUUCAAUUUCCUCUAUUCCAUUGGUGAAGGAAACGUGAACACUACACUAAAACUCUUUAGGCUUGCCAAAAUAUAAGGAUGAUCAUGUUGUCAUGAGCAAAACUGGAUGUACCCGGUAAGGAUGGAGGCAAGAUUACCUCUCUGACAAGGCCCCGGAACAGUCAGCGUCCCGGUUAAAGAGCACCGGCAAUUUGGAGAGGGCCCCACCGCCUUUUGCGCGGGAAGGAGCAGACCUCAGCCGCGGUCAACAAUUGUGGCUACUUACAGAGCGAGGUGAGUAUGAUUGGCCAAAUUAACUUAACUCAGCUAUUUUUUGGUACUGCUCAAGAAGGUCGUUGAUCUUCUUAGCUGACAAUACCAAUUAGACUAAUUUAUUGUAGUUUUAUAAACAUGGAGUUUGUUAAUCACCUCUGUGUUUUAUUGAAGAUUAAGAAGUGUAUAAUAUAUAUGCAAUGUUUUUUCCUGGACAUUUAACAAAAUAUGAAAUAAGCAAACAUAUAGUGGUCCAAGUUGAUGAAGUAGAGUUGAUGGCCCUUUGGUUUUUGAUCAAUGUAUAUAUCUUUGUUAUCCUGUGGCAAUGCAUGGCAAACGUACAUAUCUUAAACAACAAUUUAUGACCUUUCAUUUUCGUUCUUAUGAUAUAAUAUAAAGUUCAGUGUUACUUUCAUUCUAUUUUAUGGUAAUGAUGCAUUGGAUAUAUUUUAGUGUACACCCCAUAGCCUCAACAUUUGCACCGUAGCUUCACACCACCGUCUCGCCGUGCUUACUGCAGCCCGGCAUCUCGCCUUCUUCCCGUGCACAACUGAAGCUUCAUUGGCCUACAUACACUUCGCUAGACAAUCUAAACUACAUGCAUCACUAAAAACAAACAUGCAGAAACAUUGAAAUCAAGAUUAAGUCCCAACUGCCCGCCCGCACACGACGGCAACGGCGGCCAGGCCGGGGUUGCGCCAGCUACGGCGGCUGGCAUCCCCACAGCUAGGCUAAACAACAUGCGGCUGUGGCGGCGUCCAUCAUGCUCGCCCGCCUACCCGCAGGCUAGCACGCUCGCUCGCCGACGGCCAACACACUAGCCAGCACAAGGCUGCGGUGACCUGUCAGCGCGCCCAUGGUUGCAUGCGGCUUUGGCCAGCAGGUACAUGUGGUGGUCGCGCGAGGUCGUCAGACGCCUCCCCUAGGUCGGCGCCUCCCCCACCAUCGUCCACACUGUCAGCAGCCUCCUCUGUCACCUCAUCAUCGUCGCGAGCCACCUCCUCCCCUGCGCUGGCAUCGUUCCAUGCUCCACGUGAGAGAGGCGAGAAAGAAAGAUUGGGUGGUUGCAGGUGGGACCGAGCGGGUACCCGGGCAUGACCACAGCCCAUCCUGCCCCUAGAUUUGAGAUGGGUCUAAGGUAUAUCAGCCAGUUCGGACAUUUAGGGAUAAAGUGAGGGUCUGGUUGGGUCACUCAUUUUUGAUCAGGCACUGACCGGGGUGGACGUUUCAGACGUUUAGGGAGAAAGUAGGGGGUCGGCAGUAGAUUCUGUAAGUUAUUAAGAAGCUAAGAAUUUGAUAGAUCAGUCUAUGGCCCUAUUGUUGAGGAGGUAAAGGAGUCCAUGCGAUCAACGGAGGAGUUCUGUGUGGCACGGGUGAGAUGCUCGGCUAAUGGAGCUGCUCAUUGGCUAGCGAAGGAGGCUUGUGCGAAUAGUUUUAUUUUAUUCGACUCAAAACAUGUUGAGAUGAAUGAAUACAACACAACCCACUUCACCUAAGAAAAACUUUAGUUAGAAUGGGUUUUGUUUUAUUCAUUCAUCUAUCUGAGACCAAAACGUCACAAAUACAAUCCAGAUAACAUUAUUGUGUUUGACAGUAGAUGUGUGUUAGCUGAUUAUUAAAAAAUAUGUUAGCUGAGAUGACAUUGUUCUUAGUUAUUUAGCUCCGUGAGUAGAAUCUUAAAUUUUAUCAAAAGCCCGUGGCAACGCAUGGGCGUUCUACUAGUAUGGAUCUAAGGUAGGAGUUACUCUGAAUUUUUUUAAAGAAAAGGAACCCAUAGUUAAUGAAAAGAUAGAUCAAGAUUCCACAAGAAUUGAUAAAAUUGAAGAUAUUAUUACCAACUUAGGGUCUGCCUUUUCUUUCGUGAAAAAUACUCCAAAACCUCCUAAUGCUAAAAUUUCCAAACUAAUGUAUGUUCCUAAAAAUAAGGGUGAAACUUCUAGUAAGGAAAAUGCGGAUCUCAAAUCGAUAAGUGUUCACCCCAACUUUCUCGCUAUCAUUAAGGAACCUUUUGCUACAAAUGAUUUUCUCGAUUUCUUUCCUAGGAGUUUGAUCAUUAAUAAAAAGAAGGAAACUCCUAAGGGUUAUAAGUGUUCUAUUGAAGAAUUGCCUACCAAAGAUGAUAAUACCUAGAUAUAUCCUUACCUUUAUGCCUAGCUAGGGGCGUUAAACGAUAGCGCUUGUUGGGAGGCAACCCAAUUUUAUUUUUGUUUCUUACUUUUUGGUUCUGUUUAGUAAUAAAUAAUUCAUAUAGCUUCUGUUUAGAUGUGGUUUUAUGUUUUAAUUAGUGUUUGUGCCAAGUAGAACCUUUGGGAAGACUUGGGUGAAGUCUUUAUGAUCUUGCUGUAAAAAACAGAAACUUUAGCGCUCACGAGAUUAGCUGCCAUGUUUUACUGGAGAGUGAUUUUAGGUUGAUUAUUUUUUCAGAUGGUUAAUAGACAAAUUCCUCACGGCCAGAAAUUUAUUUCAGAAUUUUUGGAGUUCCAGAAGUAUACGUUUGAUACAGAUUACUACAGACUGUUCUGUUUUUGACAGAUUCUGUUUUCCGUGUGUUGUUUGCUUAUUUUGAUGAAUCUAUGGCUAGUAUCGGAGGGUAUGAACCAUAGAGAAGUUGGAAUACAGUAGUUUUAACACCAAUAUAAAUAAAGAAUGAGUUCAUUACAGUACCUUGAAGUGGUGGUUUGUUUUCUUUCGCUAACGGAGCUCAUGAGAUUUUUCUGUUGAGUUUUGUGUUGUGAAGUUUUCAAGUUUUGGGUAAAGAUUUGAUGGAUUUUGGAAUAAGGAGUGGCAAGAGCCUAAGCUUGGGGAUGCCCAAGGCAACCCAAGGUAAAAUUCAAGGACAACCAAAAGCCUAAGCUUGGGGAUGCCUCGGAAGGCAUCCCCUCUUUCGUCUUCGUCUAUCGGUAACUUUACUUGAGGCUAUAUUUUUAUUCACCACAUGAUAUGUGUUUUGCUUGGAGCGUCUUGUAUGAUUAGAGUCUUUGCUUUUUAGUUUACCACAAUCAUCCUUGAUGUACACACCUUUUGGGAGAGACACACAUGAAUCGGAAUUUAUUAGAAUACUCUAUGUGCUUCACUUAUAUCUUUUGAGCUAGAUAAUUUUGCUCUAGUGCUUCACUUAUAUCUUUUAGAGCACGGUGGUGGUUUUAUUUUAUAAAAAUUAUUGAUCUCUCAUGCUUCACUUAUAUAAUUUUGAGAGUCUUUUAGAACAGCAUGGUAGUUUUCUUUGGCUAUCAAAUUAGUCCUAAUAUGAUAGGCAUCCAAGAUGGGUAUAAUAAAAACUUUCAUAAAAAGUGCAUUGAACACUAUGAGAAGUUUGAUACUUGAUGAUUGUUUUGAGAUAUGAAGAUGGUAAUAUUAGAGUCGUGCUAGUUGAGUAGUUGUGAAUUUGAGAAAUACUUGUGUUGAAGUUUGCAAGUCCCGUAGCAUGCACGUAUGAUAAACGUUGUGUAACAAAUUUGAAACAUGAGGUGUUCUUUGAUUGUCUUCCUUAUGAGUGGCAGUCGGGGACGAGCGAUGGUCUUUUCCUACCAAUCUAUCCCCCUAGGAGCAUGCGCGUAAUGCUUGGUUUUUAAUGACUGGUAGAUUUUUGCAAUAAGUAUGUGAGUUCUUUAUGACUAAUGUUGAGUCCAUGGAUUAUACGCACUCUCACCUUUCCAUCAUUGCUAGCCUCUUCGGUACCGUGCAUUGCCCUUUCUCACCUUGAGAGUUUGUGCAAACUUCGCCGGUGCAUCCAAACCCCGUGAUAUGAUACGCUCUAUCACAUAUAAACCUCCUUACAUCUUCCUCAAAACAGCCACCAUACCUACCUAUUAUGGCAUUUCCAUAGCCAUUCCGAGAUAUAUUGCCAUGCAACUUUUCACCGUUUCAUUUAUUAUGACACGCUUCAUCAUUGUCAUAUUUGCCUUGCAUGAUCAUGUAGUUGACAUCGUAUUUGUGGCAAAGCCACCAUGCAUAAUUUAUCAUACAUGUCACUCUUGAUUCAUUGCCCAUCCCGGUACACCGCCGGAGGCAUUUAGAUAGAGUCAUAUUUUGUUCAAGUAUCGAGUUGUAAUCAUUGAGUUGUAAAUAAAUAGAAGUGUGAUGAUCAUCAUUAAUAGAGCAUUGUCCCAUAUUAAAAAAGAGAAAGGCCAAAUAAAAAAGAGAAAGGCCCAAAAAAAGGGACAAUGCUACUAUCCUCUUUUCCACACUUGUGCUUCAAAGUAGCACCAUGAUCUUUAUGAUAGAGAGUCUCUUGUUUCGUCACUUUCAUAUACUAGUGGGAAUUUUUCAUUAUAGAACCUGGCUUGUAUAUUCCAACAAUGGGCUUCCUCAAAUGCCCUAGGUCUUCAUGAGCAAGCAAGUUGGAUGCACACCCACUUGGUUUCUUUUGUUGAGCUUUCAUACAUUUAUAGCUCUAGUGCAUCCGUUGCAUGGCAAUCCCUACUCCUUGCAUUGACAUCAAUCGAUGGGCAUCUCCCUAGACCAUUGAUUAGCCGCGUCAAUGUGAGACUUUCUCCUUUUUUGUCUUCUCCACAUAACCCCCAUCAUCAUACUCUAUUCCACCUAUAGUGCUAUAUCCAUGGCUCACGCUCAUGUAUUGCGUGAAAGUUGAAAAAAGUUUGAGAUUACUAAAGUAUGAAACAAUUGCUUGGCUUGUCAUCGGGGUUGUGCAUGAUGAGAGCAUUCUUGUGUGACGAAAAUGGAGCAUGACCAAACUAUAUGAUUUUGUAGGGAUGAACUUUCUUUGGCCAUGUUAUUUUGAGAACACAUAAUUGCUUAGUUACUAUGCUUGAAGUAUUAUUAUUUUAUGUCAAAUUAAACUUUUAUAUUGAAUCUCUCGGAUCUGAACAUUCAUGCCACAAUAAAGACAAUUACUUAGAAAAUUAUGUUAGGUAGCAUUCCACAUCAAAAAUUCUGUUUUUAUCAUUUACCUACUCGAGGACGAGCAGGAAUUAAGCUUGGGGAUGCUUGAUACGUCUCCAACUUAUCUAUAAUUUUUUAUUGUUCCGUGCUAUUAUAUUAUCUGUUUUGGAUGUUUAAUGGGCUUUAUUAUACACUUUUAUAUUAUUUUUGGGACUAACCUAUUAACCGAAGGCCCAGUGCAAAUUGUUGUUUUUUUUGCCUAUUUCAGUGUUUCGCAGAAAAGGAAUAUCAAACGGAAUCCAAAUGGAAUGAAACCUUCGGGAGAGUGAUUUUUUCGAACAAACGUGAUCCAGAGGACUUGGAGUGGACGUCAAGAAAGAAGCGAGGAGGCCACGAGGCAGGAAGGCGCGCCUGCCCCCCCCGGGCGCACCCCCACCCUCGUGGGCCCCUCGCAGCUCCAUCGACCUACUUCUUCCUCCUAUAUAUACCCAUAUACCCCGAAAACAUCCAGGAGCACCACGAAACCCUAUUUCCACCGCCUCAACCUUCUGUACCCGUGAGAUCCCAUCUUGGGGCCUUUUCCGGCGCUCCGCCGGAGGGGGAAUUGAUCACGAAGGGCUUCUACAUCAACACCAUAGCCUCUCCGAUGAUGUGUGAGUAGUUUACCACAGACCUUCGGGUCCAUAGUUAUUAGCUAGAUGGCUUCUUCUCUCUCUUUGGAUCUCAAUAGAAAGUUCUCCUCGAUUCUCUUGGAGAUCUAUUCGAUGUAAUUCUUUUUGCGGUGUGUUUAUCGAGAUCCGAUAAAUUGUGGGUUUAUGAUCAAGAUUAUCUAUGAACAAUAUUUUAAUCUCCUCUGAAUUCUUUUAUGUAUGAUUUGUUAUCUUUGCAAGUCUCUUCGAAUUAUCAGUUUGGUUUGGCCUACUAGAUUGAUCUUUCUUGCAAUGGGAGAAGUGCUUAGCUUUGGGGUCAAUCUUGUGGUGUCCUUUCCCAGUGACAGUAGGGGCAGCAAGGCACGUAUUGUAUUGUUGCCAUCGAGAAUAAAAAGAUGGGGUUUAUAUCAUAUUACUUGAGUUUAUCCCUCUACAUCAUGUCAUCUUGCCUAAUGUGUUACUCUGUUCUUAUGAACUUAAUACUCUAGAUGCAUGCUGGAUAGCGGUCGAUGCGUGGAGUAAUAGUAGUAGAUGCAGAAUCAUUUCGGUCUACUUGUCGCGAACGUGAUGCCUAUAUACAUGAUCAUGCCUAGAUAUUCUCAUAACUAUGCACUUUUCUAUCAAUUGCUUGACAGUAAUUUGUUCACCCUCCGUAAUACUUAUGCUAUCUUGAGAGAAGCCACUAGUGAAACCUAUGGCCCCCGGGUCUAUUUUCCAUUAUAUAAGUUUCCAAUCUAUUUUUACUUUGCAAUCUUUACUUUCAAUCUAUAUCAUAAAAAUACCAAAAAUAUUUGUCUUAUUAUCUCUAUCAGAUCUCACUUUUGCAAGUGGCCGUGAAGGGAUUGACAACCCCUUUAUCGUGUUGAUUGCAAGGUUCUUAUUUGUUUGUGUAGGUAUGAGGCGACUUGCAUGUAGUCUCCUACUGGAUUGAUACAUUGGUUCUCAAAAACUAAGGGAAAUACUUACGCUACUUUGCUGCAUCACCCUUUCCUCUUCAAGGGAAAAACCAAUGGAAGCUCAAGAGGUAGCACACGCUUUCACAAAACAAUCUUUUUUAGCACGCAUCCUAGCGGUUCUUUCUUUGCAUUCAUCAAUGGAAAUUCUCUUGGCUUUGAGAGACUCAUUGAUGUCAUGCUUAGGUGGAAUAGAUUUAAGUUUCAAAGAAUCAACAUCAAGAGAAAUUCUAUCCACGUUCCUAGCCAACUCAUCAAUCUUAAGCAAUUUUUCUUCAACCAAAGCAUUGAAAUUCUUUUGCGAACUCAUAAAUUCUUUAACACUAGUCUCAAAAUCAGAGGGCAUCUUAUUAAAAUUUCCAUAAGAAUUGUUGUAGCAAUUACCAUACUUAUUAGAGGAAUUAUUAGGAAACGGCCUAGAAUUAAAAUUUCCUCUAUAUGCGUUGUUACCAAAGAUGUUCCUACCAACAAAAUUCCCAUCCAUAGAUUCGUUAUUAUUCUCAAUCAGAGUGGACAAAGGCAUAUCAUUAGGAUCAUAAGAAACACUCUUAUUAGCAAACAAUUUCAUAAGUUCAUCCAUCUUUCCACUCAAAACAUUAAUCUCUUCAAUCGCAUGAACUUUUUUACUAGUGGAUCUUUCGGUGUGCCAUUGGGAAUAAUUAACCAUAAUAUUAUCUAGGAGUUUAGUAGCUUCUCCUAAAGUGAUUUGCAUAAAGGUGCCUCCCGCGUCCGAAUCUAAAAGAUUUCUAGAAGCAAAAUUCAAUCCGGCAUAAUUUUUUUUGUAUAAUCAUCCAUAAAUUCAAACCAUGUGUAGGGCAAUUACGUAUCAUUAAUUUCAUCCUCUCCCAAGCUUGUGCAACAUGCUCAUGAUCAAGUUGCUUAAAAUUCAUAAUAGAAUUUCUAAGAGAGAUGAUCUUAGCGGGAGGAAAAUACUUAGAGAUAAAAGCAUCUUUGCACUUAUUCCAUGAAUCAAUACUAUUUUUAGGCAAAGAAGAUAACCAAGUUUUAGCACGAUAUCUAAGAGAAAACGGAAAUAGCUUCAAUUUAACAAUAUCAUUAUCCACAUCUUUCUUAUUUUGCAUAUCACACAAAUCAACAAAGUUGUUUAGAUGGGUAGCGGCAUCUUCACUAGGAAGGCCAGAAAAUUGAUCUUUCACGACAAGAUUCAACAAAGCAGCAUUAGUUUCACAAGAUUCAGCAUCCGUAAUAGGAGCAAUCGGAGUGCUAAUAAAAUCAUUGUUGUUGUUAUUGGAAAAGUAACAUAAUUUAGUAUUAUCUUGAGCCAUUGUGACAAACAAUCAAUCCAACACACAAGCACACAAGAAGCAAGCGAAAAGAGGUGAACUGAAAAGAGGCGAAGAAAAGGCAAAGGUUUUUGAAAGUCGUUUUAGAAGUGGGGGAGAGGAAAACGAGAGGCGAAUGGCAAAUAAUGUAAUGAGAGGGAGAAGAGUUUGUGAUGGGUAAUUGGUAUGUCUUGACUUGAGCGUAGAUCUCCCCGGCAACGCCUCCAGAAAUCCUUCUUCCUACCUCUUGAGCAUGCGUUGGUUUUCCCUUGAAGAUGAAAGGGUGAUGCAGCAAAGUAGCAUAAGUAUUUCCCUUAGUUUUUGAGAACCAAGGUAUCAAUCCAGUAGGAGAUAACACGCAAGUCACCUAGUACCUGCACAAGCAAUCAAGAACCUUGCAACCAACGCGAUAAAGGGGUUGUCAAUCCCUUCACGGUCACUCGCAAAAGUGAGAUCUAAUAAAGAUAGUAAGAUAAAUAUUUUUGUUAUUUUUGUUGUAUAGAUUGGAAAGUAAGGAUUGCAAAUUAAAAUAAAUAGGAAACUAGAAUUGUAGAUCGGAAACUUAUAUGAUGUAAAAUAGAAGAUUAUAUGAUGGAAAAUAGACCUGGGGGCCAUAGGUUUCACUAGUGGCUUCUCUCAAGAUAGCAUAUAUUACGGUGGGUGAACUUAUUACUGCCGAGCAAUUGAUAGAAGAGUGCAUAGUUAUGAGAAUAUCUAGGCAAUGAUCAUGAAUAUAGGCAUCACGUCCGUGUCAAGUACACCGAAAUGAUUCUGCAUCUACUACUAUUACUCCACACAUCGACCGCUAUCCAGCAUGCAUCUAGAGUAUUAAGUUCAUAAGAACAGAGUAAUGCAUUAAGCAAGAUGACAUGAUGUAGAGGGAUAUAAUCAAGCAAUAUGAUAUAAACCCCAUCUUUUUAUCCUCGAUGGAAACAAUACAAUACGUGCCUUGCUGCCCGUACUGUCACUAGGAAAGGACACCGCAAGAUUGAACCCAAAGCUAAGCACUUCUCCCAUUGCAAGAAAGAUCAAUCUAGUAGGCCAAACUAAACCAAUAAUUCGAAGAGACUUGCAAAGAUAUCAAAUCAUGCAUAUAAGAAUUCAGAGAAGAGCCAAAUAUUAUUCAUACAUAAACUUGACCAUAAAUCCACAAUUCAUUGGAUCUCAGCAAACACACCGCAAAAGAGUAUUACAUCAAAUAGAUCUCCAAGAACAUUGAGGAGAACUUUGUAUUGAGAACCAAAGAGAGAGAAGAAGCCAUCUAGCUAAUAAUGGACCCGAAGGUCUGUGGUAAACUACUCACACAUCAUCGGAGAGGCUAUAGUGUUGAUGUAGAAGCCCUCCAUGAUCGGUUCCUCCUCCGGCAGAUCACCGGAAAAGGCCCCAAGAUGGGAUCUCACGGGUACAGAAGGUUGCGGCGGUGGAAAAGUGGUUUCGUGGCUCCCCCUGAUGUUUUUAGGGUAUAAGAGUAUAUAUAGGCGAAAGAAGUACGUCGGUGGAGCUCCGUGGGGCCCACGAGGGUGGGGGCGCGCCUACCCCCUGGGCGCGCCCUCCUGCCUCGUGGCCGCCUUGCAGAGUUCCAGAUUUCAACUCCAAGUCUUCUGGAUUGCUUUCGUUCCAAGAAAGAUCAUCGCGAAGGUUUCAUUCUAUUUGGUAUUCCUUUUCUGCAAAACACUGAAAUAGGCAAAAAACAGAGACUGGCACUGGGCCUUCGGUUAAUAGGUUAGUCCCAAAAAUAAUAUAAAAGAGCAUAUUAAAGCCCAUUAAACAUCCAAAACAGAUAAUAUAAUAGCAUGGAACAAUCAAAAAUUAUAGAUACGUUGGAGACGUAUCAGUAUGCAAUAGAAGAGAAACUACACUAGGCAUGCCAUAGUCAAAGAGAUAGAGAAGAGUAAGUACGAAGACAAAUAGUAGCUAGGUAGAAUAGAUCGUAAUAAGAGGAUAGUAUGAAGCCAAUGAAGGAAAUAAGUUAUUAUUUAUUUCCUUAUAUCAUGAUAAAUGUUUAUUAUUCAUGCUAGAAUUGUAUUAACCGGAAACAUAAUACAUGUGUGAAUACAUAGACAAACAGAGUGUCACUAGUAUGCCUCUACUUGACUAGCUCGUUAAUCAAAGAUGGUUAUGUUUCCUAGACAUAGACAUGAGUUGUCAUUUGAUUAAUGGGAUCACCUCAUUAGGAGAAUGACGUGAUUGACUUGACCCAUUCCGUUAGCUUAGCACCCGAUCGUUUAGUAUGUUGCUAUUGCUUUCUUCAUGACUUAUACAUGUUCCUAUGACUAUGAGAUUAUGCAACUCCCGUUUACCGGAGGAACAAUUUGUGUGCUACCAAAUGUCACAACGUAAAUGGGUGAUUAUAAAGGUGCUCUACAGGUGUCUCCAAAGGUACUUGUUGGGUUGGCGUAUUUCGAGAUUAGGAUUUGUCACUCCAAUUGUCGGAGAGGUAUCUCUGGGCCCACUCGAUAAUGCACAUCACUAUAAGCCUUGCAAGCAUUGUGACUAAUGAGUUAGUUGCGGGAUGAUGUGUUACGGAACGAGUAAAGAGACUUGCCGGUAACGAGAUUGAACUAGGUAUCGAGAUACCGACGAUCAAAUCUCGGGCAAGUAACAUACCGGUGACAAAGGGAACAACGUAUGUUGUUAUGCGGUCUGACCGAUAAAGAUCUUCGUAGAAUAUGUGGGAGCCAAUAUGGGCAUCCAGGUCCCGCUAUUGGUUAUUGACAGGAGACGUGUCUCGGUCAUGUCUACAUAGUUCUCGAACCCGUAGGGUCCGCACGCUUAACGUUACGAUGACAGUUUUAUUGAGUUUUGAUGUACCGAAGGAGUUUGGAGUCCCGGAUGAGAUCGGGGAUAUGACGAGGAGUCUUGAAAUGGUCAAGACGUAAAAAUCGAUAUAUUGGACGACUAUAUUCGGACUUCGGAAAGGUUCCGAGUGAUUCGGGUAUUUUUCGGAGUACCGGAGAGUUACGGGAAUUCGUAUUGGGCCUUAAUGGGCCAUACGGGAAAGGAGAGAAAGGCCUCAAAAGGUGGCCGCACCCCUCCCCAUGGUCUGGUCCGAAUUGGACUAGGGAAGGGGGCGCACCCUUCCUUCUUUCUCCUUCCCCCUUCCCUUCUCCUACUCCCACAAGGAAAGGAGGAGUCCUACUCCCGGUGGGAGUAGGACUCCCCCCUAUGGCGCGCCUCUCCCCUUGGCCGGCUGCCUCCCCCUUGCUCCUUUAUAUACUGGGGCAGGGGGCACCCCAUAGACACAACAAUUGAACCUUGAGAUCUUUUAGCCGUGUGCGGUGCCCCCCUCCACCAAAUUACACCUCGAUAAUAUCAUUGCGGAGCUUAGGCGAAGCCCUGCGUCGGUAGAACAUCAUCAUCGUCACCACGCCGUCGUGCUGACGAAACUCUCCCUCAACACUCGGCUGGAUCGGAGUUCGAGGGACGUCAUCGAGCUGAACGUGUGUAGAACUCGGAGGUGCCAUGCGUUCGGUACUUGAUCGGUCGGAUCGUGAAGACGUACGACUACAUCAACCGCGUUGUGAUAACGCUUCCGCUGUCGGUCUACGAGGGUACGUGGACAACACUCUCCCCUCUUGUUGCUAUGCAUCACCAUGAUCUUGCGUGUGCGUAGGGAUUUUUUUGAAAUUACUACGUUCCCCAACAGCCAAGUAUGCAAUCAGAGUGAAUGUCUUCACACAAAGAAGUCAAUUAGAGCAGGCAAGCAAUGACUUCACAAAGCUAAACUGUAAGUAAAGGGGUGAAGUGAUAGAACCUGUUGCUUGACGAAGACAAGGAUUUGGUAGACCAGUUCCAGUUGUUGCGACAACUGUACAUCUGGUUAGGGGGGCUGAGAUUGAACUCGGAAGACCGCAUCUUCACCUUAUUCCCCUUGAGCUAAGGUCACUUAGUCCUCGCACAAUCACUCAGGUAAGUCUUCAAGGUAAACUUCCAAACCUUCAUCGACUUCAUUCACCGAUGAUCCACAAUGACUCUUGGAUCCUUAGAACGCGACGCCUAACCGACUGGAAGAUCAUAGUCUUCAAGUGUAAUAAGUCUUCAUAUCACGCGGACAGAAAGACUUCAGUUAUUGCAAACACACUUUGGGCUUUGGGUGUUUUGGGUCUUGUCCUUGCAAGGAUUCUCUCUCAAAUGCUUCGGAGGUGGGUUGCUCUCAAAUGACAAAAGUCAUGCACUAACUCUAAGAAGCCACCAAUUUAUGGCGGAGGGGUGGCUAUUUAUAGGCAGGGCAACCCGACAUGAUUUGUCCGAAAUGAACCUUGGUCAUUGGGGAACUGACACGUGUCCAAUAGUCGGAUUUCAAACACACGCGACAGCUUGACUUGGGCUACAAGCAAAGCUGACUUAUCCAACUCAGGAUAAGAUUUUCUCUCAUUGUCUUCACUCGAAGACAUAGGAUUUGGUUUGAGCACCACGUCAGUUUCUGACUUUGUUCACUUGGACCCCACUUGACAGUUCGGUGGUUCCUAUGCCUCAAGAAAGAAGAAAAUGAAACUACGAAAAAACUAUGUCUUCGCACUCCAUAGUCUUCAAGCGUAUGUCUUCACAUGUCAUUAUCUUCGACGUGAAUGUCUUCACGAACCACCAAUGUCUUCAAUGUCUCCAUACAUUUUUAGGGGUCAUCUUGAAUGGAUUGUGACGCCCCUGAUUCAACCGUACACUAGUAAUACACGCAAAUGUGUACGAUCAAGAUCAAGGACUCAUGGGAAGAUAUCACAACACAACUCUAGACACAAAUUAAAACAAUACAAUCUUCAUAUUACAAGCCAGGGGCCUCGAGGGCUCGAAUACAGAAGCUCGAGUACACAAUAGUCAGCGGAAGCAACAAUAUCUGAGUAUAGACAUAAGUUAAACAAGACUGCCUUAAGAAGGCAAGCACAAACACUAUACAGAUCAAAAAGGCAAAUCCUCCUGCCUGGGACCUCCUAACUACUCCUGGUCGUCGACAGUCUCCAUGUAGAAGUAAGCACCCUCGGGGUAGUAGUAGCCGGCGGGGGUGGAAUCUGGCUCCUGGGAUCCACCAUCUGGUCACAACAACCGGAAAGAAGAAAGAAGGGGGAAAAGGUAGCAAAGCAACCGUGAGUACUCAUCCAAAGUACUCGCAAGCAUCAAAUCUAUACUAGGUAUGCAUUGGUAUCAAGGGAAGGGAUGUAUCUAUGGACUGAACCGCAGAAUGCCAGAAUAGAGGGGAAGGCCUAGCCUAUGGAAGACUAACACCUUGCAGCAUUCAGAAGAGUACAAAAUAGCAUUUUAUAAUUAACAAGCAUGUUGUAGCAUUAACGCCCAGAGAUCUUUCCUCGACUCCCUGCGAGAAAACAAUCUCGGAGCCAAGAUAUCCAUCUCAUGUCUCAAGUAUCCAUUUCUAGUUGUAAUAGAUCUGGAUACAACUCUGAGCGUCCAUUACCGUGGACACAGAUAUUCGAAUGGAUAACUUCCCUGCAGGGGUGUACCACAUUACCGAACACUUUUGAUUACUCUGGGCGGACACACUUCCCUGGGUCAUGCCCGACCUUGGAAGAUCAACACGUCGUAGUCGGUAGUCCUACCUAGGCUCCGUAGAGAGGUCCCUACCGGUCUACAUCCUAAGCACUCCGAGGUCUUGGGCCCAUCGCCCAUUGCACCGGGUCAUUGCGAGUAGGGUGGAUACCAGCACCACCUGUGUAGUGGAUGGCACGAUCCGACCAUGCCACAAUGUUGAACUGGACGUCUGACAAAGCUUUCGAAAGAAACGUAUGACGUCGAGUGCCCAUAUAUGUUCCCUCAUGGUGGUUAGUGCAUAUAGGCCAGUGGCCAACUCCGAUCAAAUACUCAAACCUUUAGUGUAUUGGGAGCUCAUGGAGACGAGCAGAGACUCACGAUCAUGUGACCCCGUUGCCCCAUCUCGAGUAAAUACGGCAAGGGCCAGGCCCAACCCUCUCACUGGGGCGUUCUACCUACCCGGCCGUGCCUCGUAAUUAUCUCGCGGGUGCUCUCCGGGCCCGCCCAACUUUCACAGGUAUCUCUCGCGGGUACCCCUCGGGGCCGACCCGACUUUAACAAAGGUGAAGUAAUGCCAGGGUAACCGCGUGUCCAAAACAUCAUGGGGGGAACCCGAGGAAUCACCCUUGAGGGAUUCCACUCUAUGUAAUCGUCAAGCUGACCUUAGGAGGAAUCACCUUCGAGGUUCUCACUUGAGGUGUUGCACGACAAAGUCGUAUCGGGAGUGGUGAAGGAGGAAUCACCCUCGAUGACCAUGACCAAAUAGCUACACUAUAGAGUUAUCAUCGGGAGUGCGUUACGAGGUAUCACCCUCGACACUCGAUAGUAGCUCUGCAGAGCCGAGUAACUAAGGGGGUGAUGUGCUGUGUCGGGCUCAUGAUAUCAAUCACGUUGAUCGAGUCAUCGGUCAUCAAGCCGGGGUAACUGGGACAAAGUGGGGUCCACUAGCGAAUCACCAACCAACCUAUACUAAGCAGUUUUGGAUAAGCAGGUAAGGUACAAGAGCAUGUUACAAAAGCAGGCUAUGCAUCAGAAUAGGAGCAAUCAAUUACAAUAGCAAAAUCUAAUGCAAGCAUGAGAGAUAAUGGAAGAAGCGAUAUUGGAAUGAUCAAGGGGGGUUUGCUUGCGUGGAAGCUCUGCUGAAAAGGAAGAAGGGUCAUCGGUGACGUAGUCGUAUCCGGCAGCAGCGUCGAUCUCGAGGUCUACCGGAGAGAAGAGGGGGAAGAAACAGUAAACAUAAAGCACACUGGUGUAACAUAGAUGCAAGACAUGACAACAUGCAGUGCUAGGGGUGACCUAUCACAGUGCUACACGAUACCGGCGAAAGGGAAAACAUCCGGGAGUGUUUUCCCGAAGUUAGGCAUUUUCGGACAGAUGAAACGGAGAGGGACGGUUCCAUGUUUGCAGUGUUAGAGGGGUGUGACAGCUACAAGGAGGGCACCAACAGUUCGUCUAGUUUUUCUGAAUGUUUUUCAUAUAUAAAACAUUUUCAUCCGAGUUACGGUUUAAUUUCUAUGAUUUUUCAAAGUUUUAAACAUUUUCUGAAAUUCUUGAAUUAUUAUUAAUUUGAAAUAUUAAAAGUUAAAUGCUAUGUGCACCUAGUAGAGUGUACACAGCAGUGCACACACAGGCUGACAGGUGGGGCCAGCCCGCUAAGUCAGCAGGUCAACAGUUGACCAGUUGACUGGUCAACUAGGGUCAACUAGACCCACAUGUCAUUGACUAAGGCUAACCCAGUCAGCAGGUUGACCGGUCAACUUGGUCCAGUGGGACCCAGUAGUCAGUGAGACAUUUUAUUUAGUUAUGUUUAAUUAGUCCAAAUUAUUAAUUAGGGCGGUGGGGCCCGGCUGUUAGUGGUACUAUGGUUUAUUAGACGCUACAGUAGCAUGGCCCACGUGUUAGGGACUCGGCGGUGGGUUAAUUAGGUGCUAAUCAGCUGGAUUAGCCGCGGCUAACCGUUGGUGGCCAUCCAGGGCGACGGAGGCCCACCGGAGCAAGGCUACAUGCGGCGGCACGAGUCGCGGGGGGCACUGGAGACAAGCUCGCACUCGAGCGCGUCUAACCGAGGCAGAGGCAGGUCGCAGGGUUGGCUGGAGGAGACCCACAGCGAAGCUGAGCGGCGGCGGGGCAAAGUUCGCUGGUGACGAUCGUGCUCUCGCCUCUGGCCGUUGUUUGGCUGGUGGAUGGGUGCGUUAGAGACCGGCCCGCACGGCGCGUCUAGUGGACCGAGCGGGAGGAGCUGGGGUGGUCGACGGCCAUGGCUACGAUGAGCAACUGCGGCGGCAACGGCCGACGAUGCUCGGGCUAUGCGGCUACGGUGGCAAGAGGGGACAUAGAGAGGCAGGGGAGAGAGGGAAGGGCGCUGGGCUAACUGCGGGGGCGCAAGAAGGCCCGUUGAGGGCCGGGAGCGCAGAACAGUGUCGUGGUCGCGGGGAUGGCCGGCGACAGCUAAGGAGGGGAUGGCUCGACGCGGCCGUUGUGGGGGCGCCGGGCUCGGAGCAGAGGGCGUAGCCGAUGCAAUGGAGCACCACGUAGUCCCUGGACAUGACAGCGGGGCCGGGGAACAACGGUGGCCGCGACGGGGCGAGGUGGCCAUCGACAGCUGCGUUCGGUUGUGCGCGCCGCAGCGGAUCUGGUGAGAGAGAGGGCGACGAGGGAGAGUGAGAGUGGAGCAGGGGGCCAGGGGAGGUAGGGCAUCGCCCUUAUCCCCUCCUGUCGGCGUGGACGACGAGGGGGUUUGGCGGCGACUGCGCCCCUUGGCCGGUUGAACAGGGGGGGCGGGGAAGACGACAAGGGGGGUUGGGCCCACUGGGCCGAACUAGCUGGGCCGGUUCGGCUAGCUAGGCUCAUGGGGGGACAUGUUUUUUUCUUUUUCUAUUCUUUCUCUUUUGUUUUCUGUUUUCUUUUAUAUAGCUACUGUUUUAUUUUGUUUUCAAAAGAAAAUAGGUUAAGUAAAAUCAGGAACUUGGCCUAAAAUUGGCGAUGUAAUUAUUUAGAGAGCCACAACAAGUUUUGAGAUUAUUUCAAGUGGUUUGGAAAUUUUAUAAUUUUAAAAGCAAUUAAAAUAUGGUUAUUGCCCCUGUUUUAAUUGUUUUAGGGCAUUUAAUCAUUUUAUUGAAUGUUGGUUUCUCCAUGACAAAUACUAAGUGAUUAUUUGCAACAUUAUGAACAUUUUUGUUUUGACAUUUGAAAACAUUAUUUUAGAUUUGAAUUGGAUUUGAAUCAAUGUGAGAUUAGCAACAGUAACAGUAUUGACAUGACAUCAUUAGCAGGGGAUUACUGUAGCUUGAUUAUCCGGGUGUUACAUGGAUAAACUGAAUCAAUAGGGACUUCUACCUGUGUUCUCCUGUGGAUCUCACAACCACAUUAGUCCCUCAACCAUGUUUGUCAUCAAUACUCCAAAACCAACUAGGGGUGGCACUAGAUGCACUUACAGUUUUCCAUUGAAUCGCAUAUUCCAUGAUCAUAGCAGUUAUAGCAUGGAUUUAAACCCUUUAAUUAUGAAUAUGAAAAUAUGAUAAUACAAUAUUAUUGCCUCCAGGGCAUAUUUCCAACAAAAAGAUGCUGUACAAGCUAUUAUUAUAAGCAUGUAUGAUUAUAUACGAAAUACAUGCCUACAUAUGAUUGAUGAGUUGGAGCUAUUAUGUAUUGCUCUAGGUUGUGAAUGUUACAUUAUUGAUGUCAUCUAAAUAUCCGUUGCUACUCCAUUCCUACGCUUUGCUCAUAUUGUCUUUGCUAAGUUACUACCAUUGUUGCUACUCUUCCAACUGCUACAAAACUGCUACUACUACUACUAUUACUAUUGCUACUGUUGUCGCUGCUGUCAAAACUAUCAUAUUAUUGUGCUACUAAUAUUUUGCUGCAGAGAAACAACUUCUCAGGUGUGGUUGAAUUGACAACUCAACUGCUAAGGCUUAUAAAUAUUCUUUGGCUCUCCUUGUGUCGAAUCAAUAAAUUUGGGUGAAAUACUACCCUCGAAGACUGUUGUGAUCCCCUAUACUUGUGGGUUAUCAACGAUCAAUUUCCCCGUUGCUCACCACACCCUCGAUGUCGCAUAAGUUACAGACGAAUGGGUGAAGCUAGUAGUUUAGGAAGUAGCACUGAUAGUUGUGAUUCAAGCAUCGCUCAUGUUCAUUCACAAGAGAGCUAUUCAUCGUGGUGACAAUCCUGUCAUCCGUUAUGGUCCAAUGCUAAUUCGGUAUCAGGAGAGGAUAUCAAAUCUGAACUACAUCUACAAUCGUAAUGACAAAGAGGUUUUGUGGAUCCUUUAAAUGAAAAGAUCACCUUUCGCCAUGCUUGUGCAGACCUUCAGAAGUAGGGGCUGCUACAAGAUAGCAUUCACACUAGUGUGGAAGAGGAAGUAGCCGUGUUCUUUCAUGUUGUUGGUCAUAACCAGAUGUUCAGGGUUAGGCACAACAUGUUUAGGAGAUCAAUGGAGACCAUCUCCAUAGGCAAGUGAUGUAUAUUGUUGCGGAACUUAGAGGAGAGAUGAUCAUGCCACCAACCGGCCGGACUCCUAGCAAGAUUCGCACUAGCUCAAGAUGGUAUCCGUACUUCAUGGUGAGCACUAACAAUAUGUAGUCAUGCCUUGAUAUGGUUGUAUUGUCCUGAUAUAGCAUAACACAAACUUGUAAUGCCAUUUCAGGACUGCAUUGGGGUAAUAGAUGGUACUCAUGUCACUGCCAGAGUGACGACGUCACAAUCUGGAGCAUAUAGGGGUAGAAAGCACUACACAUGCCAGAAUGUUCUUGCUGUUGUUGACUUCGAUAUGAAGUUCACAUAUGUGUUGCCUAGGUGGGAAGGAUUAGCACAUGAUGCUAACAUUCUAAAUGAGAGCAUUAGUCGACCUAAUGACAUCAAUAUCCCCGAUGGCAAGUUCUUCAUAAGAGCUCUGAAGAAUAGUUUUAAGAUCCUGGAUCGGAAGCGAUUCCACACUUCCCCACCCAGGUUAAGCUUGUUCUUGCUUGUUGCAUUCUGCAUAACUGAAUCCUGUAAUGGGGUUGUGAUGAACUGGUGCCGGAGGAGGAAGAGGUGACACCUGAUGAUGUUGUCAGCUCUGGCCAUGGUGUGGAGGCAUUUGACAACGAAGCCUGGAACACAAAAGGAUGGAAUGGGCACACAGAAUGUGGGAAAAUAGAGGUCAGACAGGGAUUGAAGAAGAAGAAGAAGAGCAAGAGCAGCAGCUGAAGAGAAGAAGCAACAGAAGAGGAGAGGAGAAGGAAAAAGAAACAACAACAAAAUAAGAAGAGGACCAGGAUGGACUUUGAACUAGUUCGACAUCGAUGAACUUUCCCCUAUUGAGCCAUUUGACCGUUACAUUUGUAUUGCUGAACUACGAUUUGUUACCUAAUUAGGACUGAAACUAUGUUCAGAUCAUGUGGGGUAAGGUCACCACUAGUGAAAAAUGGUGACAGCAGUUUGCAACCAAACAACAUGUAGUUUGUGCGCCCAGUGCAACGCAGGCAACCAAACGACGGGUCUAUAUUAGUUUCAUCAUGCAACUAGCCUAGAUGCGGGCAACCAACUAUGUGGCGAUACUGAUUUUUGGCCUGUUUUACCUUGGCCAGCCCCAUCUAAGACACACAUGCAAAGAGUGAAAGGAACAGUGCAUGUAACCAAACAUGCCCAAAGAGAAUCGAUAAGGCUACGUAUACAGAUAGAAAUCAAGGCGUUCAGAUAUGUAGCUAUGUGCCCACUAUUCGGAAGUUAUAGUAUUAAUUAUUAGUUUUUUUCAUUGUCUAGAAAAAAACUGUUAGUUUUUCAACUGUGCCAUAUUGUAUUUUUUGGAAAUGUUGAAGUGGUCACCGCGAUCCCACCUGAAAAUAAAUAAGUGAAGAGUUUAGUCCGGGUCUCGCAACCACUACGAGAAUCUGCCUAGGGUUUUUGACGCCCUCGCCGGCCCGCCGCCACCUCCUCCCUUCUCACAAGCGCUGCCCCUCGACUACCACCGUACCACCAGGAUGACGGCGCAGACCGCCGAGGAGCUCGCCGCCCAGAUCGAGCAGGAGCAGGUCGAGGCGAAGAAAACAGAGGUGAGAUUUGGAUGUGAUCCUUGCUCCAGCCCCUCCCGAGCAAUGCCAGUCAUCGUCAGAAUCGGUGAUCGAUUUGUUCAGGGAUUAAAUAUUCCAUGCGAUGAACUAGUCCGAUCCUGGAAGGUUAUUGCUUUCAGUGUGUUAUUAUGGGUAUUGGUAAUUUUGAUCCUGUCGCCUAAUGCUUCAUCUGGUUAUUUAUUUACACGAGGCAGCGUAAUUCACUGUUUAAUAUCGAUAAAAGUAUAACUCAAUAUUAUCCUCGGUGACAUAGGUGUUUUAGUUGUUGUGUACUGGGUAACAUCUGAAGAUCUUAUUGUGUGAAUCUUGGGAGCAGGCAGAAGAGGUUGUGGUUGAGGAUGAUGAUGACGAUGAUGACGACGACAACGAUGAGGAUGAUGAUGACAACGAUGAUUUGGAUGGUAACUCACUAUGCUCACUGGUCUCCUGUAUCCACUUUGCGUAAAGCUGUAUUAAUUAAUAAAUCUGAUGCGGACAUGUGAAAAUAAUAACAGAGUGAGAUUUAUUAAAUCCUGUUGUUUUCUGUUUACAUUAUUAGACCUUCUCUUAGGGUUGGAUUGUCUUUGCCCUUGGAUGGUUCCAGUGGUGGUGCCAACAUUGGUAGCAUGUGUACAUAUCUAUAGUAUCCAUGUAAUUUUUGUAUACACUUGAAAAUAGCCGUGAUUUGUUUGCUGAGCAAAUUAAGUGAUGUUGCUUGACAUAACAGUCUACACUUUUUUUUUUGAACAGUCACCGGGGAGAGAGUUUCCCCACCUGAAUAUAUUACCACUCAAAUGGCCAUAAUGCCAAGAGACUGAUCCAGUUUAUAAGGGAAACCGGAUCAAAAACCUGAACAAAUUGGCCACGUUUAUGAGGGAAACAUGUCCAAAAAAACGUACAAAUAAAAAGGGUAAAAGAAGAUGAGAAAAAAGACACCCAGGACAUGUCAUGGCCUAGCUAGCAGACUGUAGAACCCCACGGCCCAAACCCCACGGCGCAACACAGGAGCAUCCACAAUCAACGAGUGCCACAGCUGAACACGAACGAUUAGCAAGUUGGGGAGGCAUCUUGCGUCGUCAUUGAGCAAAGAUGAACCGAGAGAACACCAAGAGCACGAAGCUCGCCGCAACACAACAACGACAGCCAUGGGAGGGUCUUGAGCAUGCACAGCUACAAGGGCAACACACCAAACGAUGUGCAGGGGCAGAUGGAUGGUGGCGAAGGGCUCGACGUAGAGGUGAUGUUGACGGCGGUACGGGAUGGAUGGCCGGCGAUGAGUGGAAUGAAGCAAAUUAGAGAGAUGACAUAGAGUGCAGAUAAGUUCACCAUACGGACAUGAAGGAGAUGCAGACCGCGCCAUCAACAUAGAGGAGUGGCGUGAGUGCGCCGCCGCAGUCAUGGCCGGACGAACCGGCAAAGAUUUCUCCCCAUCCCCAAGUCCAGAAGGAGGAGGCAGUACAACGCCAUCAUGGUGGGACACGGCGCCUGCAGGCGUCGCCGUUGCCAGCCGGCGGCCGCCGGCACGGAUUUCUACAGUCCACACACACCUUCCAACACCUCCACACCCAAACUCCGACAAGCCGGACAUAAAGGAGUAAAUCUGGCAGCCCGGGGAAAGGGGCACCGCCGGACGAGCAAACCAGUGACGAAGAGCAGCAGAUCGGAACGCAGGGCACACACCCACCACCACGCAGCACCCGUGGAUGUCUGAGACGCAGCGAGAGGCUCGCCCAGCUCGUGUGAGCACGGGACCAGGGAGAGCGGCGUUGAGCACCCGUCAAAGCAGAGAACUUCGAGCCGGCGCAGCAGCCGUCGACGGGGCCGGAUCUGGCCACGUGAAGACGCAGCGGGCCAGGAGAGUGCCAUGUCAUGGCGGGAUCUGGUGAGCAACACGAGAGCCACUCCCAACGACGACGGCGAGCAGCAUGGAGCGGAGGUCACCGACGGAGGGCCAGCACGCGCCGGCCGGCGGGCAGCUGGCGGCUCCAUGCAGGAAGGUGUGGGAGGCAUCCGAUUGGAUCCCGGGAGGAGGCUGAGGGUGCGUGGAGAGCAUAGCGUGGCCUCGCCGCCGCCAUCCGCCGAGGGGCUUAGCCCAGAGGCUUCCUCCGGCGACGGCGAGGGGUAGGGGGCGUGGAGGUGGACUAGGAGGGUGGCGGCGGGGGUCCUCCGGAGUCGCCCGAGAGCAACCCGGGAGGAAGAGUAUCUCUGUUGGGUGUCUACACGUAGCUUCACCACUGGCUGGUUUGUUUGUAUGAAUGCAUGUUUACUGGUUGUCUGCUUUUAGCUUCUUAAGGCUCUCUUUUAGCUGAAAAUCAUUGGGAUAUUCUCUUUGCAUCUGACAAGAAUAUUGAUAGGUUUGGUCAUGUGGGUUUGUAGAUACUUUAAAAUUACAAUCCUCAUUGUCAAUUCAAUUGAGAUGGGAUAUAGUCUUUGUACUGUGCUGUGACUGAUAUUGAAAGAUCUUUUGUGCUGUAUAAACAAAAGAACAGAGAUGUUUAGAUUGUAGUCAAUUUGAUGGCGCAGAUGUCUAGCUGCUUCUGGUGCAUAUGUUUAUAUGUACUUUUUAGUCUGCUAUUCAAACCUGUAGGUGCAAGGCUGCGAUAGUUUUGUACAUUUUUAUAGAUGCGUCUAAUUUAUCGAUGUUUUAUUGUUAUAACCUUAGAGGUUAUACUGGCCAAAUGGGCAUUGCACUAUGUUUUACUUGGAGUAAAUUACAUUUCGUUUAAAUUUGACUUGCAUAUGCAAGGAGACGUUUUCUUGGUGCCGACCAUCAUAUGUGCUAGGUAGUGUUAAAGAAAUUGUUGUUGCGUUUUUUCAUGACUAGCUGGUUCCGGUUCCCUCUUAUUUGGAAGCUCCGGAUUGUAUUAUAUUCGCUUUAUGUAACUCUUACACUGUAUGAUCCAUAUUGUUCUUAUUGCUAUUUUACAGGGCAAGAAGGUGAUGCCAGUGGCAAAUCAAAGCAAAGCAGGAGUGAGAAGAAGAGCCGCAAGGCAAUGCUGAAGCUUGGCAUGAAAUCCAUCACUGGUGUAAGCCGUGUCACUGUGAAGAAAAGCAAGAAUGUGAGUCAUUACAAUCACUUACACAGCGUGGUCUGUAUUCCUUUGUUGGUCGACUAACACCACUGUUUCCAGAUAUUGUUCGUCAUCUCAAAGCCAGAUGUCUUCAAGAGCCCAAAUUCAGAGACGUAUGUUAUUUUCGGUGAAGCCAAGAUUGAGGAUCUCAGCUCCCAGCUGCAGAGCCAAGCUGCCGAACAGUUCAAGGCUCCUGACCUGAGCCAAAUGAUCUCAAGUCCUGAGGCAUCGGGCAUGGAGCAUGAUGACAACGAGGUUGUCAACGAUGAGGGAGUCGAGCCGAAGGACAUCGAGUUGGUGAUGACACAGGCGGGCGUCUCAAGGGCCAAGGCUGUCAGGGCUCUCAAGUCUGCCAAUGGAGACAUUGUCACUGCCAUUAUGGAGGUCACAACUUAAGAGUAUGCCGACAUUUUUGGAACUAGUUGAACCAUUUCUCUUUGAGCGUUUUUCUUGAGUGUUAUUAUUAUCUUGGAACCGGAUAAGUAUCUCAUGUUUGCUUGCAUCUCUGAUAAGGUCGUUUGGACAUGAUCCUGCCUGCGGCUAAGUUGGUACAGUGUUUUUUACCACGGACCUGUCAGUGGUGGCAAUUUUCUGGCAUGUUUUUCACCUUUGACUAAAAUAUUAUCAGAUUUAAUUUAAAUAAACCCCCUUGUAUUCUUUGUAACCGAUAAAAAUAAAAUGGGACUAUAACUGUGAAGCAGUAAGAAAACGAAGAAGCUGAAGUAACAACGGUUUGAUAGCGUCCGCGGGGUUUGGCUUGCCGGCAUCGAACCAAAUUAUAGUACUCCCUCCGUUCCUAAAUAUAUGGUGUAUUGUUUUUGGCACGGAAAUUAAAGAACGCACGUGGAGGGAAAAUUUCAUAAGUUUUGGGUCAGAUUACACCUGACUAAUUGACACGAAAAAAUAGAGGAGCUUGCAUAAUAUAAGGAAAGGUAAUCAAAUCCCUAAAAAAAUUAUUCAAACAAGUGGUAUAACGCAAUACACCUUAUAUUUCAGAUUUUUUUUCAAAAAUCUAUACACCUUAUAUCAAGGAACGGAGGAAGUAUUAUUUUUGCUGAUCCUCCACCUCAUUUCUCGGGGAAAGAAAUCCCUUACAAAGCAAACAACACAAAUCGUCAAUAGCAAGAAAUUUCUUGCAAGCAAACAACAAAAUCAAUCAUGUAGUUAUACGUGCACAAUGUCAAUCACAUCAUAUUUUUCUCAAUCACAUCAUAUUUUCUUACCUUUUUCUAUGGAUUCUCUUCUCACAACAUAUCUCAAUCCUAAUAGCAUCUACAACCGCAUAUGACAAAUAUGGGAGCUCCUGUAGGGCGCCUUACGCGCCCAUUGACGAUUCGGGCGCCCACUGCAGCACGCUAGUGGGCCGGCCCAUGAAGACGCAGGUCACUGAAAAAUGUAUGGCCCAAAAAUACACCCAGAAUAUCACUCUCGCGAGGAUUCGAACCCGCGCCAACUAACGGCAGAACACGGCAGCCUAACCACAAGACCAACUAUGCCCAAAUGAAAUAUUGCAACGCGAAACUUUCAAGAACUAAACUCUAUCCGCGCUAUAGAGAAAACUGUGAUUUCUUUUGAAAAAAUAAAUGAACAAAAUUUGAAUGUCCACAGAUUCAAGAAAACGUCACGAAAUAGAAAAAAGUUCAUGUAUUAAAAAAUGUCAUAGUUUUUCAAAAUUGUUUACAAAUUUGAAAAAUAGUUCAUAGAUUUUGAAAAAAAAGUUCACCGACUUUGCAAAAAGUUCAUUGAUUUUUGAAAAAAAAGUUCACAAACUUUUAAAAAAGUUGACUAAUUUUGAAAAAAGUUCAUUGAACUUGAAAAAAGGUUCAUUGAAUUCAAAAAAGUUCAUCGAUUUUGAAAAAAGUUCAUCGACGUUGUAAAAAGUUCAUCAAAUUUGAGAAAAACGUUCAUCGAAUUUGAAAAAAGUUCAUCGAAUCUAAAAACUGUUCAUCGAAUAUAAAAAAAGUUCAUCGAAUUUGAAAAAAGUUCAUCGAUUCUGAAAAAAGUUCAUCGAAUCUGAAAAAAGUUCAUGAAAUUUGAGAAAAAGUUCUCGAAUCUGAGAAAAAAAUCCGUCGAUUCUCAAAAAAAGUUCAUCAAAUUUGGAAAAAAGUUCAUCGAUCUUUGAAGAAAACUUCUUUAGUUUUGAAUAAAAAAUUACAAAUUUGAGGAAAAUGUUCACGCAAUUAGGAAAAAGAAAAAAAAGGAGCAAAACCGUUCCAAUAAAAAAAAGAAAAAGAAAAAACUGUUCCAAAAAACGAGAAAUUAAAAAAAUUAAAAAUGCAAAACAAAAACAAUUCCAGCAAAAAAAGGAAAAAAACAGAAAGAUUAUAUAAGAAGAGAAAGGCUAUAUGUAAACACGUCAAGUAGGUGUGGCUGGUUGGUUGUGACAACGAACUAAGAGCAAGGAAAUCGCCAGUUCGAGUCACCGAACUGCUGUUUUUUUGCGUCCGUAACAGAAAAAAUAGUAACAUGGGCCGACCCAGUGUGGUAAAAGGGGUGUGCGCCCUGUACCGGUAAGCCUAAAACGGGCGCUACAGGCGCCGUUUAGGAAAUGCCGACAAAUAUGGCUCCUCAUACGUCAGACGCGUUUGCAGAGAGGGCCGGGUCACCCCUCUUUUUGUGUCCCGUGCAACCAAGUACCUCAAUCCAUACUACACAUGCAACACAAAAGCUAUGUAGUACUACGUAGAUAAAUAUAGCCUGCUCCUACUCGUCAUCGGAGAUGUAGCCGACCUCCAUGCCGACAGUGCCGGACGGACCCUCUUCCUGGUGGACGGCCGCCUCCCGCAGCUCCGACUCCCCUUCGGACUACAUGUAUGUGAAGAGAGCGCCCACCUCCGUUCGUGCCUCGCGGAGGUAGCAGCGGAAGGUGGCCUGCUGCUCCGCCGCCCCCUCCGCUUAAGUGACCUCAAACUCGCCCAACGCGUCGGCCAUGUUAAAUCCGGCAACAGGAGGCGCCGGACCUGCCUCACCUUCCGUAGGAUCGAAAGUAUGUCUAGAGGGGAGGGGAUAGACUACUAGCAAAAAUUGAAGGUCUAUUUUCCUAAUUUUAGUUCUUGGCGGAUUUUAACUUAGCUAGCAAUACAGGCACACCGUACACAUGCAUAUCUAGAGUAUAGGCAACCUAAAGUAAAGACAUGCAUGUGCUAGUAAUGUAGAGAGUAGAGUUGAAGAGGAUCACAAGUGCAAGUUGACACGGUGAAGAUUUUCGACCCGUGGUUCCGACAAGUGGUGCUAUCGUACGUCCAUGUUGAUGGAGUCUUCAAUCCACGACGGAUAUAAGAUCACGAAGAUCUCGGUUGCUAGAUUCCAUGGAGGAAUCGAGUCCACAAAGGGCUCAUACCCACGAAGGGUCCACGAAGAGGCAACCUCACCUAUUCCACUAUGGCAACGCCCAUGAAGGACUAGCCUCACUAGGGUAGAUCUUCAUGAGGUAGGUCAUCUCCAAACCCUCACAAGCUCAUUCUCUUCUUCACAACGGGUGGAGACUUCUAAGCACACCUAGCCGAUCUAGGAGGCACCACCCUCCAAAAGGUACUAGAUGUUGUUGAUGAUCAACUCCUUGCUCUUGUGCUUGUUACAGUGCCUUCGGUGAGUCCAAAUGGUCAUCUCACUGAGAUUGAAUCAACUAGGGUUUAGGACAACACCUAUAUCUGGUAGAUCGGUGACUCCGAAUGGAUUUUGUUCAGUGAGUCCGAGUGGAGUACUUGGUUUAUAGUGGGCGUUGUGAAAGUAUAUAAGGAUUUUGGAGUUUGAUCUUCGAGCACUUUGAGCAAUGAACUCAUCUUCUCAACCUCAUCCCCUUUUGAUCUAUGUACUCAAUGUGAUCUUUGAUCACUUAAAUAUAAAAUGGUGAGCCUUGAGACUUGACCCAAUACUUGUCCUUAAUAUUUUCAAGGGGUUUACUUUCAUUCCCCAUGUUGUACCUAAAAUGAACUUUCCUGAAUUAUACUUUGAGCAGGCAUUAGUUCAAUGGUAUAUAUAUGUUGAAAUGAAUUACCAAAACUACCCAGGGGAUUAGAUGCACUUUCAAUCUUCUCCUUUUGAUAAUUGAUGACAACAUAUAGAUCAAAGCUUUGACAAAAGAUAUAAUAAUUAAUAACAUCAUUGCUUUGAGAAGUAUUUGAUAUACAAGAACUCCCCUUAAAUUUGUGCAUUCUUUUGAUUUGCGUUUGAAUGUAAAUGAACAAUCUAUAAGCCAUAUGAGGAGCACUUAUAUGUCACAUACAACUUGGUGGAGCACAAACAUAAGAUAUAAUACAAUGAAGAAUCAAAGUAAACACCAAAAACACAUGUCAAUGACCACAAAAGAUGUGCCAUAGCAUAAAGAAGUAGCAUAUUUGAAGUCACACGAGUUUGGGUCAUCACAUGCGAUAAAUUAGUUUACAUCACAUAAGAAUUGAAUAAAUUGGCAGGUGAUGUAACUUAGAAAAAUAAACACACUCUCUGACUCUCUCUCCCUCUUUGGCAUCAAGAUAUCAAAAGAAUCAAGAGAUCUAGAAUGGAGACGAGCGCAUCUGCGGUACACGUCACAUGUAUCCAUUUGGCCGUGGCGGGUCACUCUUCUCUUGCAUCGACGUCCUCCCUGCCUGCCAGCCUCGCUGAGCUUCCGCAUCGGAGCAAUUUUAGAAAUCAGGCAAAACCUGAGACCCGGUUUGUCGGGUUCAUGUUUUCUCAGCUGAAUUCCAGGUGUUAAGUCUCACAACACGAUUUUAUUCACUCGAACUACCCGAACUGAAAUUUCACGAAAAACUGAAUGCCCACCGUGACCGUCAUGUGGUUCUACAUCUGUUGGGAAUAUGCCCUAGAGGAAAUAAUAUUGUAAUUUAUUUCCAUGUUUAUAAUUAAGAGUUUAUAUUCUAUGUUAUAACUGGUAUGAUUCUGGAAUAUGUGAUUCGGAGGAAAAAAAGCACGUGUGGAACGAUAAACGGUAAAACCGGACCUAGUCUUGCCUCUAGGACUAGCUCAAGUGUUGUAUGUUGAGUAUGUGGUUAAGUGUAAGAAUAAUCCCAAAACAACAUUGAGGGUAUGAUGUUAGAAGAACGAUCAUAUUGAAUUGACCCAACUUGUUUGUUAUACUUUGAGAUGUAAUCGUCACAAAUCUAUUGAUAUAACAUGGAGAGUUAAUGUAUGCUUUGGUUCCUUAGACCAUGCGAGUAUUAUAGUCACUUUGUACCAGAUGAUAUACUUUGGGUUUGCUCAAACGUCACCUAUAACACGGUGAUCGUAAUGACAACUUGCAGGUUCAUCAGAAAGUAUGACAAGGGGCUAGAUAUCUCAAGAGUGGGAUUUGCUCCUCUGUGGUGGAGAGAUAUUCUUAGGGGCCUCUCGAUGUGACGACAUCCAUCAUCGUCUGACUAGACACAGGUGACUUAGUCACGGGGACGCCGGAACAUGUAAAAUGAGAAAGAGCAAAACCUGUAACGAGGAGACUGGUAUAAUGAGCAUGAGAAUGAAUCUAGCGGAUACCGAUGUAUCUCACCUCGGGUUUUGUAAAGUACCCCGAAACAAACGGAAUAGUAUAUGAUAAUCAAAGUGUCGGUACUAAAAUCGACAGAUCUCAGGUAGGGGGUCCCGAGCUGUGGAUCUAGGAACGAUGGUGAACAUGAGACAAGCUGUUGUAAGGUGGAACCCUAGAUGGAGAUCUUUCACUAAUUGGAGGGGAAUCCCACGAAGAACACGAAGAAAU